CAGACAGGCAGCUUAAUCCUAAUGGUAAACAACCAAAAACAAAGAAUUGCGUUUGCUGGAAAUCAGAAUCAAAGAUAGAAAUUGCUGCAGAAACUCAGCAGAUGCUGGCAGACCUGCUGAGUUUCUCCAGCGAUAUCUGUUUUAAUCCCACUGGUAUCUGGGGGCUCAGGGAAAACUAUUUAAUUGGCAAAAGGUGCAUCAUGAAGGUUCUUAAAGGCUGACACCUGUUGGAUGGUAAUGUCUGCGAACAUGGGUGCAUAUGGCCAGUGCUCAUGGAGCAUUGCUCUAAGAUGUUGGUGCCUGGUGUCCAAACAUGGAGACCCUUUGGAGCUCGCGGUGUGCUGAACUCAUCAGGUACCUGCUCUGAUUCCAUGUCAAGAAUUCUGACAUCUACUUAUUCAGCAAAUAUGGGAAGAUAAGAAGCUGAAUAGCAAUGAG